rnacentral:rRNA from 1 species
ACGGGUGAGUAACGCGUGGGAAUUUGCCUUUUAGUGAAGGAUACCCUCGAGAAAUCGAGGUUAAUACUGCAUAAGUCUAGAAAUAGAGAAAGGUGGCUUUAUGCUAUCGCUAGAAGAGGAGCCUGCGUACUAUUAGCUAGUUGGUGGGGUAAAGGCCUACCAAGGCGAUGAUGGUUAACCGGCCUGAGAGGGUGUACGGUCACACUGGAACUGAGACACGGUCCAGACUCCUACGGGAGGCAGCAGUGAGGAAUAUUGCGCAAUGGGCGAAAGCCUGACGCAGCGACGCCGCGUGGAGGAUGAAGGUCUUAGGAUUGUAAACUUCUGUUAAGCGGGAAGAAAAGCAAAGUUCUAAUACAACUUUGUUAUGACGGUACCGCUAGAGAAAGCACCGGCUAAACUCGUGCCAGCAGCCGCGGUAAUACGAGUGGUGCAAGCGUUAUUCGGAUUUAUUGGGCGUACAGGGUGCGCAGGCGGCGUAUUAAGUCAAUUGUCAAAAACCUUGGCCUAACUGAGGAUCGGCAGUAGAUACUGGUAUGCUAGAGGGUGGAAGAGAGAAGUGGAAUUCUUGGAGUAGCGGUAAAAUG